CGCAGGGAGCCCGGUCUCCUGGGAGAGGCGUGGUCCGGAACUCCAACCCAAGGGCUUGCCUGGCCGCCCCUCCUGCGGCUACGCACUACUCUGUCUACUGCUGCUUUGCCCGCAUCCCUGAGCCAGGGACAGAUUUUAUUGCCGAACCCGGGCUGGAGCCGGGCGGCCCCAGGAGCCGCGCAACAGCGCAAGCGGGUUGGAUACCAGUAGCCGAUUCCAGGGCGACCACCGAAGCAGGAGCAGAGGGGUUGCUCACACCCGAGAUGUGAGGCUCCAGGAGCUCCAACCCAGAGUUGCCCAGGCCUGAAGGCGGGAGAGGCUCAGUCGCACCCUGCUUCCCCCACUCCGAGAUUUUAAGUACAGUCCGCUUGAAAUCCCUGGAAUGCGCUUUCUUCUGGCUCCUAUCCGGAGCCAGGACCAACUGGGGCAGGAAGGGUUCCUCGGACCAGCCCCUGCCAAGCCUAGGCUUCCAGGUCUCAGCCCGGCCCUUAGCCCAGCUUUUAGCUGAGCCGGGCUGCGUGUGUGCCUCUCCUCCACCUAGGGCAGGGGGUGAAGAGGAAGCCAGAGGGGGCUGUCUGCAAAUGACCUCCUCGAGUUACCUCCUCGGGCUGUCGUGAGGAGGCGGGCCGCUUCGUCUGGAUGCUUGUCACCGCGAAGGCGCCAAAGAAGGGUUGCGCAGCCGUGCUGCGUAACCGAGGGUGUCCGAGCGAAGCCCAGCCCCUGGGGCUCUGGUGACCGGGGGUCGCUGUGCGCACUGAGCAGAACUGGAGCUCGAAGCCGGAGAGCGACCCUCAAAAACAUGCCUGAAAGCCGGAAAGAUGAACCCGACCCAGAGAGCGCCAAGACUGCAGACCCUGGGGACCGAGGACACGCUCACCACGCUGGUGGGGGCUGGGGGGAGGGCGCGGGCGGUGGCGUGCGGGGAAGCGCCCGGGGAACUCCUGGCUCUGCGAGUUUUAGCGGAAAUAGGCGACAUCUCCGGCAACACUUGGAAGUACAGGAAGUGGGGAAGGAGCGCUAUCUGGUGGAUCAUUGUGUUAGUGACACUCAGACCUGUGCCAGGGACCUUGAGACAAUUUACUUGGUCUGGAAAAAUCUGAGUUAAAAAAAAAAAAAAAGAUGCUUCAA